UUUUGGAUGCCUCAGUGUCCACAUCACAGAGGAUCUGACCUUAGUGAAGAAGGCACAGUAACAUCUGUACAAUCUCAGAAACCUCAAGUAUUCCAGGCUGCUUUCCAGAUACUAAAGAACUUCUUCACAUCAACCAUUGAAAGUGUUUUGACAAGAAGUAUCACUGACUGAUUUGGAAAAAGCACACAGCAGUUGCGCGAGGCUUUGAAGAGAGUGGUGUGGUCAGCUUAACACAUCACAAGGUGUGCACUCACUAACCUCCAGGACAUCUACACUGAGUGAUGUCAAACCAGGGCAAGGAAAAGUAUCCAUGACACUGGCCAUCACAACAAUGGCCUCUUUUCCAUUCCGCUAUCAGCUCCAGCAACAGGUCAGGUCAUUUACAGUAAGAUGCCCAGGAGGAAGAGGGCAUCCAGAUGAUUAAACUAACUGCAAGUUUAAGACUUUGCUUAUUCUACAGGACCAUGGAACCCCCAAAGACCAUCCAAGGGAAAUCCCACCUGAACUUGGUGACAUCACUUCCAGUUCCAGCCCUAAUGAUGUCACUUCCUCCAACACAUCUAUAUAAACACCAUCUUGCCACAAUUAGAGCAGUUCUGUUUUGAAAUCAGUCUGAAAGACUUGUGAUUGCUGACAUUUUUACAUUUUCCUCAAGUAUAUUGAGUGGCCACCCCAAACCUUUUUCUGUUUCCCUCCUGUCUUUUCACAACAGUUUGUCCUAUGUUUGUCAUAUUAUGAUUUUCUUGCAAAU